GCGCCGGUCGUAUAGUGGCAAUUACACGACGCUGUAAACGUCGCGGCUUCGGCCUCCGGGGGUUCGAGUCCCUCCCGGCGCA
rnacentral:tRNA from 1 species